CUCUGCUCCAAACGUCAAACGUCGUGCCGCGAACGCGUUUGAAAAAAAAAUCGUUGCCGGCUUCAGGAGGAACUUUUCGCAGGAAUCAACCCGCAACCCGAACGUGUAAAAAAUUGAACCCGAGAUGACCCGGUCUAGGAACCAAAAGCAGGAUAAUGAGAGUUUCGCGAUUUGGCUGGAGUUGCCGGGAUUUUUAUCCAAUGGCGAAGAUCCACGAUCCGGUUCCCGUAGUUUCGGUAAAUGGAUAAGAAAAUGGACUCGGAAGUCCAAGAAGGAAGAAGAGCUAUUGAUUAAAUCUGCAAUCAUCAUAAAUUAACUUCGUCGAUUGUGUUCCGGCCAACAAACACCAGCGCUCAUCAGAUGCAAUGGACGGAAACGCAGCCGAUCUUCUAAUUUCUCGUUGGCCGUGAUGUGAAAUUUGUAUUUAAAGAAGUGCAGUGAAUUUGGGGAUUAAUUUCGAUGUUUUUUGUUGUGAUAUGUUUACAAAUAAAACAAAACAAAAGCAAUUAA